rnacentral:lncRNA from 1 species
GUGGAGAGGGAGAGAGGGAGAUGCCGAACACCUGAUCAAGAAUCUUGGGUCACAAGGCAGUCUGAGCUUCCCUCUUGAUUAUUGCUUCUGCCGAGACCUCAUUUUAUAUGGAAAAAAGAAAUGUAAUGGGCUCAUUUCUGUCCCUCAGUAGCAGCUGACUUUCUAGAAUGUCAGAAUGACCAUUGGAAGAUAAUCCCAGACAAAGGAAGGUA